UACAGAGGGUGCGAGCGUUAAUCGGAAUUACUGGGCGUAAAGGGUGCGUAGGUUGUUGAAUAAGUUAUCUGUGAAAGCCCUGGGCUCAACCUGGGAAGGUCAGAUAAGACUGUUUGACUCGAGUAUGGGAGAGGGUAGUGGAAUUUCCGGUGUAGCGGUGAAAUGCGUAGAGAUCGGAAGGAACACCAGUGGCGAAGGCGGCUACCUGGCCUGAUACUGACACUGAAGUACGAAAGCGUGGGGAGCAAACAGG
rnacentral:rRNA from 1 species